rnacentral:rRNA from 1 species
GGGGAGUGACAGCUGUCGAAAGAUGGUUUUCUUCGGACACUCUUCAAGGUGCUGCAUGGUUGUCGUCAGCUCGUGCCGUGAGGUGUCGGGUUAAGUCCCAUAACGAGCGCAACCCUUACCGUUAGUUACCAUCAGGUUAAGCUGGGGACUCUAGCGGGACUGCCACCGUAAGGUGAGAGGAAGGUGGGGAUGACGUCAAAUCAGCACGGCCCUUAUGUCCAGGGCUACACACGUGUUACAAUGGCCGGUACAAAGGGCAGCUACUUCGCGAGAAGAUGCUAAUCUCGAAAGCCGGUCUCAGUUCGGAUCGAAGUCUGCAACCCGACUUCGUGAAGCUGGAUUCGCUAGUAAUCGCGCAUCAGCCAUGGCGCGGUGAAUACGUUCCCGGGCCUU